CCUACGGGCGGCUGCAGUGAGGAAUAUUGGUCAAUGGGCGGAAGCCUGAACCAGCCAAGUCGCGUGAGGGAUUAAGGCCCUAUGGGUCGUAAACCUCUUUUGUCAGGAAGCAAUGGCGUCCACGUGUGGGCGUAUGGAGAGUAACUGCAGACAAAGCAUCGGCUAACUCCGUGCCAGCAGCCGCGGUAAUACGUGGGUUGCGAGCGUUAUCCGGAUUUAUUUGGUGUGAAGGGUGCGUCGGCGGGACCUUAAGUCAGCGGUAAAAUUGCGGUGCUAAACGCCGUAGAGCCGUUGAAACUGGGGUUCUUGAGUGAGCGAGAGGUAUGCGGAAUGCGUGGUGUAGCGGUGAAAUGCAUAGAGA
rnacentral:rRNA from 1 species